GAUGAAGAACGUAGUGAAAUGCGAUAAGUAGUGUGAAUUGCAGAAUUCAGUGAAUCAUCGAAUCUUUGAACGCACAUUGCGCCUCCUGGUAUUCCGGGAGGCAUGCCUGUUCGAGCGUCAUUAAAAUCACUCAAGCUUAGGUUUACCUAUUGCUUGGUCUUGGAGAUGGAAGCCAAUUUAUUGGAAUCCUCUUCGAAAUUCAAUGGCGAAGACCCUUGCUCUCCCAAGUGUAGUAAUAACUUAUGUCAAUGAAGGAAGCGAGAAAUCUUCUGCCGUAACCCCCAUAUUUUCUAUGAUUGACCUCGGAUCAGGUAGGGAUACCCGCUGAACUUAAGCAUAUCAAUAAGCGGAGGA
rnacentral:misc_RNA from 1 species